rnacentral:rRNA from 1 species
GGAUCAGGUAGGAAUACCCGCUGAACUUAAGCAUAUCAAUAAGGCGGAGGAA